ensembl:lncRNA PTPRG-AS1 PTPRG antisense RNA 1
GUCACCGCAUCUUUAUAAAGGGCCGCCUUGGGGCGCGAAAAGUUCGUGAGGUGUAGUCGCGGCAACCAGGAGCAGGUGCACCCACCACUAGAAUUUGAACAUCCUAAGAACAGGUAUUUUUGUCUCUGCUUUGCUGAUGUAUCCUCAGCAACCGGAACUGCCUGACAUCUGAUCCUUUCUGUGAGACACCAGGCUGUUGAGGAAGAAUCUAUGGCAACAUUGUAUCUAUUAAUAUACAGCUUCUGUAUUUAUCAGGCCCAGUUCUGGUGAUGAUUUCACUUUUGACAGAAGCUGUCCCUCAAAAGCAAACAUGCAAUAGAAGAAACAGAUCUCAAUGCCAUCCAUCUGCAGUUGUGACAAGCAAAAAAGUCUCCAGACAUGGCCAAAUGUCCCCUGGGGGGCAAAAUCACCCCCAAUUGAGAACUACUGCUCUAAACUGUGAGUCUGAGUUUCAACUGAUGUAGUACAGGUUUUACACAUAAGCAAACUACUUACAAUGUCUGUGAAUACUCCAGGCCUCAUAAGAUUGAUCAUUUUUGCAACCUGGAAAACAUCCACAGCAUUUUCAUUCUCCAGUUGCUGGGACAGGGUGGUAAGGGCACAUAACAUUCCUGCUGAAACUGCUCCAUACCUGGGGGAGAAAAAAAAAAGAUACGAUUUCAGAUGUACAAAGGGACCAAAUAUAUUGAAAUGAAAUUACUGUCAUGUAUUUUCAUAGAAACUAAGUAGACUGUUUUGACAUUUACUCUAAAGACACGACUGAAUGAAAUGCUGGUGGGGGAGGGAUUUGGAAGCUAGCAUAAAGGUGAGAUUUGUUUAUGAAAGUGGAGUAUCCCAAAUUGGUUCAUGAGACGUUUAGCUUGAUAUCUAAUAGGAAAUGAGAGGUUCAGAAGUAGACUUAGGAGAGCUAAAGAUGAUUUGGUGUUGGUGAUGAGUUGGGUGGUACAAUAGAAAAAACAAUAAAGAGAACCUCUUAACUAGACGUUAUUGGACAAGCAGCCAGUGAUGAAGGGCUCUGAAUUUUUUUUUAACAAUUCCAAACAGUUAAAUUGAACUUACAGAAUAUGAAAAAUUUAAAAAUGGAAUUAUAUGGCUCAAAACAGACAAUUUCCAAAAUUAAUUUCAUAUGAAAUAAUUAUUUUGGCACUGAAGUGGAACUUUCCUAAUGAGAGCACUUUCUAUGAAAUCCUUGGAAAGAUAAAUGUGGUUCUCUUUGCCUCACAAAAAAGUCUUAGAAAGGUAGUAAAUUUCCAUCAGGCCAGGUUGGCAACUCCACUUUUCACAAGAAUCUGUGAUGGCACACAGUUUCCACAUUAGUGAUGAGAAAACAGAUGGAUUAAAUGAAUUGUUCAAGAUGAUGUUGCUGGCUGGUGGCAGAAAUGAGACUGGAGUUCAGAUGCCCUGUGCCCAUUGUUUUUUGAAAAACUUAAAUGUCAUUUCUGAAUUGUUACAUAAAAUUAAAAUAUUACAUGUUUUAUAUCUUUAAUACAAAUAAGACCAGAGUCCCCCUUAGCCACCCCCCAACUUUAGAGGUAACCUCUCCAGAGGUAAAAAUUAUUACACGUGUAGAUACAGCCUUCCAGAUUUAGGUGUAUCACUACAUUUCAGUUCAACUCAUUAUUUCAUCUGCUACAUGCAUACCAGGUUUACCUUCUAGAUGGACAUUUAGCUUGUUUGAAUUUGUGCACUUUAGCAUAGGUACUGAGUAGAAGGGCUAGGGUCACAGGUAUGCCUGUUUUUAGUUUUAAAGACACUGCCAUAUUUCUUUCCCAAGUGGCUGUUACCUGUUCAUACUAUUCCCAGCACGAGAACACUUGCUUCUCCUCAUCAUUUUAAACUUGAAACACUUUUGCCAAUCUGAUGAGUGGAAGACUGUAUCUUACUAGGGUUUUAAUUUACAUUUCCUUGAUUACCAGGGAGGCUGAAUGUCUUUUUAUGAAUACUGACCAUCUAUAUUUCCUCUUCUGAAAUCGCCUAAUUAACACUUUUCUACUAAGUUUGCCUCUUCCAAAAUGAUUUAUAUAGGAGUUAUUUUUAUAGUGUCUGUAGUACUUGUGAGUUUUUUUGCCCCCCGAUCUGUUUCUCUUAACAUUGUUUGUGGUCAUUUUGUUAUACGGAAGUACAGUUUAGAUGUAAUCAAGUUGAUACAUCUUUUAUUUUUGGCUUUUUUUGGAAUCUUGUUUGAGAAUGCUUUCUCUAACCUUGUAUUUUAAAGAUACUCUCCUACAUGUUCUAAUUUUACUUUUUUACGUUUAAUUGUCUAAUUCAUCUGAGUCUUAUUCUUGCUUUGAUGUAAGGAAGGGGUCUGAUUACAGUUAUUUUAUUUUUCCAUUGGAUAACCAGUUGUCCCAGCACUUCUUAUUUUACAGUGUGAUCUUUUCUCACUGACAUCAGCUUCCUUUUUAUCAUGUACUACAUUCUUAUAUAUGCAAGCCUAUUUCUGAACUCUGUUUUGACCUUUUAUUCUGUUUGUCUAUUUUUUGUACCUCCCCACGUGUAUCCCAAUUCCUUAAUAAGUCUU